UCGGGUGUGUAUAGAGUGGCGAACGGGUGAGUAACACGUGACCAACCUGCCUCUUACAUUGGGACAACCAAAAGAAAUUCUGGCUAAUACCAAAUACUCCGCACAUAUCACAUGAUGUAUGCGGGAAAGCUUUUGCGGUAAGAGAUGGGGUCGCGGCCCAUUAGGUAGACGGCGGGGUAGAAGCCCACCGUGCCGAUGAUGGGUAGCCGGGUUGAGAGACCGACCGGCCACAUUGGGACUGAGAUACGGCCCAGACUCCUACGGGAGGCAGCAGUGGGGAAUAUUGCGCAAUGGGGGAAACCCUGACGCAGCAACGCCGCGUGCGGGAUGAAGGCCUUCGGGUUGUAAACCGCUUUCAGCAGGGAAGACAUCGACGGUACCUGCAGAAGAAGCCCCGGCUAACUACGUGCCAGCAGCCGCGGUAAUACGUAGGGGGCGAGCGUUAUCCGGAUUCAUUGGGCGUAAAGCGCGCGCAGGCGGUUGCUCAAGCGGAACCUCUAAUCUCGGGGCUUAACCUCGAGCCGGGUUCCGAACUGGACGACUCGAGUGCGGUAGAGGCAGAUGGAAUUCCCGGUGUAGCGGUGGAAUGCGCAGAUAUCGGGAAGAACACCAACGGCGAAGGCAGUCUGCUGGGCCGUCACUGACGCUGAGGCGCNNNAGCUGGGGGAGCGAACAGGAUUAGAUACCCUGGUAGUCCCAGCCGUAAACGAUGAGCGCUGGGUGUGGGAG
rnacentral:rRNA from 1 species